rnacentral:rRNA from 1 species
UACGUAGGGUCCGAGCGUUGUCCGGAUUUAUUGGGCGUAAAGAGCUCGUAGGUGGUUCGCUAAGUCGGAUGUGGAAACUCGGGGCUCAACCCCGAGACGCCAUCCGAUACUGGCGUGACUUGAGUCUGGUAGGGGAGAUCGGAGUUCCUGGUGUAGCGGUGAAAUGCGCAGAUAUCAGGAGGAACACCGGUGGCGAAGGCGGAUCUCUGGGCCAGCACUGACACUGAGGAGCGAAAGCGUGGGUAGCAAACAGG